GCUGUCAAAGUUGUGUGAAAAAAGAAAAGAAAACCCAUCCAUUUCCAACUCCCGUGACUUCGGUGCAAUGUUUGAGGGUAAUUUGUGUGCAAAACAUUCGGAAAAAGUGUAGAAAGUGUAGGUAAACAGCCAAAUAAUUGAUUUGUCGUGAAAACUGCGUGAAAAUCAAACUCAGCAAGCUGGAAAAUUAAUGUGAAAACAAAUAGCGGUGCAUGUACACCUGAGAGUCACCCACAGGAGUUCCUCGGUCCUAUCCUUAGCAAAUACCUCAGGAUUUUGAAGCAGCUCGAAGGGAGGGGAAAAAUAAACAAAUAGAAAGAUGUGGACUUCUCAGGCGAAGUCAUCGGGAGGACAGGAGAAUGGUGGGAGUCCGCCGGUGAAGACAUUUGGUAUGACAUCGGCAAUCAGUAUGGCUGGACCGAAGCCCGAAGACUACGAAUUGUCGAAGGAUCUGGAGAAGACCCUUCAGCCAUUUAAUGUGUUCGAAACGGAAACAGAGCUCAAUCAUCGCAUGGAGAUCCUCGCGAAGCUCAAUACGCUCGUUAAGCAAUGGGUACGAGAUGUGUCAAUUGCAAAGAAUAUGCCUGAGCAGAUGGCAGAGAAGCUCGGUGGGAAGAUCUAUACAUUUGGCUCCUAUCGCUUGGGGGUACAUCACAAGGGGGCUGAUAUUGAUGCUCUAUGCGUGGCACCGCGCAAUAUUGAUCGCAAUGACUACUUCACAUCGUUCCUGGAUGUGUUGAAGAAGCAACCGGAAGUGACUGAAUGCCGUGCCGUGGAGGAAGCCUAUGUGCCGGUGAUAAAGAUGAAUUUUGACGGGAUUGAGAUUGAUUUGCUCUUUGCACGGCUCACGCUCAAGGAGAUCCCGGAAGAUUUUGAUCUACGUGAUGAUAUGUUGCUGAAGAAUCUCAACCCGAAGUGCGUGAGGAGUCUCAAUGGAUGCCGUGUUACGGAUGAAAUUCUCCGUCUUGUGCCGAAUAUUGAAAAUUUUCGUUUGGCCUUGCGUACGAUAAAGCUAUGGGCGAAACGUCAUGGGAUCUAUUCGAAUUCAAUGGGUUUCUUCGGUGGGGUGUCAUGGGCAAUGCUCGUGGCGCGAACGUGUCAACUGUACCCCAAUGCAAUUGCCUCAACACUCGUUCACAAAUUCUUCAUGGUUUUCUCACGAUGGAAGUGGCCCCAUCCGAUUUUGCUGAAGCAACCGGACAAUGUGAAUCUUGGCUUCCUCGUGUGGGAUCCACGUGUUAAUUCAUCCGAUCGUUAUCACCUAAUGCCAAUCAUUACACCCGCAUAUCCACAACAAAAUUCCACAUAUAAUGUGUCAAUAUCAACGAAGAAAAUCAUUUGCAAUGAAUUUGAACGUGGUAUGAAGGCAAUGGAUCUCAUUGUGCAGCGAAAAUUGUCAUGGAAGGCACUGUUUGAGGCACCGAGCUUCUUCUGUCAGUACCGUCACUUCAUUGUACUCCUCGUGAGUUCACAGAGUGCUGAAGAUCACCUCGAAUGGUGUGGGUUGGUUGAGUCAAAAGUACGGUGUCUCAUUCUCAAUUUGGAGCGAAAUUUGCACAUUAAUUUAGCCCAAGUCAAUCCAAAAUGCUUCGAUCAGGUGCCGUCCAAGACAUCAUCAGCCUUCUGUUCAAUGUGGUUCAUCGGUUUGGAGUUUCAACGUACGGAAAAUCUCAAUGUUGAUCUCACAGAGAGUAUACAAUCAUUCACGGAUCAUGUUCACAAACAUGCGCUCAACAUAAAAAUGCUGAAGGAAGGUAUGAAAAUUGAGGCGCGACAUGUGAAGAAGAAGCAGCUAAAUCAGUAUUUAGACCCGGAAUUUUUGCGUCGAGAACGGAAGCAUACGGAAAUGAUGGAAAUUGUGCAAGUUGAGAAGAAACGUGCGAUUACGGAGGAGUCAACGUCAUCGCAACCGGGUACACCGCAACAGGAGAAUCCCAAGAAGAGGAUGAGGUUAUCAGAAACCUUUGAUGAGAGCCCCCGAACAACGCCCAAUACGUCGGUAAAUGUAAUCAUGGAUGGUGAUCUGGGGGAUGAUGGACAAGAUGGGGGUGGUGAGAGGUGCAAUACAAUUGAGAAGGAGGCUACGGUGGAGCCAACAACGGCAGCGGGGGAAAAGGGUGAGACAACACCACAAACAACGGAAGUUAUGUGCUCGUGACAGGGAUGAUUGGAGGAGCAUCAUCAGACUGAUUCAAGUGAAGUUGCGGUGUUUACAUGAGACAGCGAGAGAGAGAGAGAGAUUCCAUGAUGAAGAAAAAAAAGAAAAUGUAAUUCUCAGAAAAAAAAAACAUUCACAUCCACCCCUUCCAACGUGAAGACAACAACCCUCAAAAUAUAUUCCCCGAAAUGUGUGCAGUGAGAGAACACCUUCACGCGUUUAGGCAUUGAAGGAUUAAGGAUUUUAUUUAAGAUUUAGCUUUAAGGAUUGAGGGACACUUAAGGAGUUUUUUUUUAAAUCAUAAAACAAAUAAUUUAUGAUAAAAAAAGAAGAGAAAGAAAUGUUGAUUGGAUGUGCGGAAGGAGGGAAAUAUUAAAGGGGUUACGUGGGUAGAAAGAAGAGAGAAUUUCAACCACCACCACCGGACAAUUUCACAUUAAAAAAAAAUAUUGGACGAUUAAAGAUGAAGAGGAUAAAUAUACAAGAGAGAGAGAGAUCCACAAAAAAAGGACAAAACACUGCAAACAUUCACAAAAAAAAAUUCGCUUAUUUUUUUCUUAAAUCACAAAAAAAUUCUCCCUUUGGUGUUUAAAGAAUUUUUAAAGAAGAAAAAAUCACCACACUGGAGUUUUUUUUUCUUUUAAAAAUAAUUAUUAAUUUUUAAUUUCAAUUCAAUUAACUUAAUCAACAAGAAAAUAUGCGUAAGAACUGGAUUAUUUUUCACACAUUUUACAAACAAGAAGAAAACGUAAUAGGAGAAAAUAAAUAUAAAAAUAAAUAUAUUUAGCAUUUUAGUAUAAUACAAAAAAAGGAGAAGUUUGAAUAAAAUAUUUAUAGGAUAAAAAUAAAUGGUUUUUUAGCAUUAUAGUCUCUCCCCAAAAUUAAUGAAUGUUCUUUCACGGUAUAAAUGUACUUUUCGUUUCAUGAAAAGUACAAUAAAUAUUCUUUUUUUUCACAAUGGAUUAGUGAGAAUUUAAUGAUGAAUUUCUUUUUUUUUUGUAGUAAGAAGUAUCUCGCGUUUUUUUUCUCUUUAUGUACAUAGAACAAUUUAUCGUGGAAAGAGAAAAAUUAAAUUAAAAAAAAUGAAUUAAAGGCAAGGUAGGAUUCUAAAGAAAAUUAAUUCUUAAAGCAAAAAGGUAAUUUUUCUUAAUUCAGGCAUAAAAAAAAUGAAGAAAUAAUCUCUCAGAGAAUUUUAGUGAGAUUGAAAAUGAAUUAUUUUUUGGAUUUGAAGAAAUUCGUGAAAUUUUCAUAAUGUAAAUAUAUUAUUAUAUUUUUUAUUAUUACAAAAAAGGCUUAUGGGGGCGAAUGAAAGAAAAUCAUUAAAAGUGUGGGAAUUGGAAAAAAAAUUCUAUAAAUUCUAAUUGAUUAAUUGAUAAGAAAAACUUUCCAUUUAUUGUCACAUCCAGUACAUUUCUUUUUAUUUUCAUACACACACAUUUAUUAAAAAAAAUAUAUUGUAAAAUUCGAUGUAUGAAUGAUUUAGAUUUCAAUAAAGAUUCUACCGCGUCAACAAAA